rnacentral:rRNA from 1 species
AUACGUAGGGGGCGAGCGUUGUCCGGAAUGAUUGGGCGUAAAGGGCGCGUAGGCGGCGCGGUAAGUCUGGAGUGAAAGUCCUGCUUUCAAGGUGGGAAUUGCUUUGGAUACUGCCGCGCUUGAGUGCAGGAGAGGUUAUCGGAAUUCCCGGUGUAGCGGUGAAAUGCGUAGAGAUCGGGAGGAACACCAGUGGCGAAGGCGGGUAACUGGACUGCAACUGACGCUGAGGCGCGAAAGUGUGGGGAGCAAACAGGAUUAGAUACCCUGGUAGUCCACACUGUAAACGAUGAAUGCUAGGUGUAGGGGGUAUCGACCCCUUCUGUGCCGCAGUCAACACAAUAAGCAUUCCGCCUGGGGAGUACGGCCGCAAGGCUGAAACUCAAAUGAAUUGGCGGGG